rnacentral:lncRNA from 1 species
CAAUUCUCAAGCUUCAAGUUCUGCUCCUGUACAAAGUAGCAUCCUCUGGCGUUUGUAAAGAUGGUUGCACACCAUGUUUCCUCCCUAGAAGAGCAAGUGCUUGAAGCAGAGAAGACUCAUGGCACCUUUCUUAAUACUGUUUGCAAAUUAUUUCAAUGUACAGCUAUCCCUUCUUUGAAAAAUAGACAUCAUCCAUCAGCAGCACUCUCCUAUGAUCUGCCUAAACUCUACAGAACGGAAGACUUUUUUCCUAUGAACUAUGUAGGUACAAAGUAUCAAAACCAUUAAUGUUUGAUUACCAACAGCUUUCUAGGAAAGGCUGCCUCAGUUUGUUCUUAUGGGUCAUACUUUGUUUUAACGUUAGAAAGAAGCAACUGUUACAUUUCAGAUCUGUGGUUAGCAUCUUCAAGGGAAGCUUAAACUUUUUGAUCACAGUGUGGGUAUAUAUGCAGCCUGGAGCAUCUAUUCUGUGAUUUGGUCGCACUAGUUUGCUCCAUAAACUUACUACAUCAGUGAAGAAAAUGUACAAGAACUCCCUUUGUUUACCUUCACACUUUAAAAAUCUUUUUAUACCUACGAUGAUCAGAAGGUU